rnacentral:rRNA from 1 species
GUUGGCUCUAGGAGUGCCUUUCUUUUCUUGUAAGUAGCCUCAAAGCAGAUUGUAGCGGGAUUCUCUGAAUCAAUAAACCUCCCAGCUACAAUGGCCCGAGGGCCGAAAUGUUAUUUGGCCCAUGAAAGAAUACAAUGAUCCUUGAUCCAGCUCAGCCUACUCAGCAGGGCCUAUUUGUCUCAAAAAAAUAUAUCAUCAGGGCCUAUUUGCCUAUUUGGAUUUCAGACAAUAACCCACGGAGAGGGUUAGAAGACGGCGAAAUAUCCGCAACGAGCUCGUGGAAAUGGCGACGACGGUGGUGCCGCUCGCCGCGGCCAUGGCCGCCGCUCCAAGGUCUCUCCUCCUGGGCGCUCCAGACCCCUUCCCGUUCCUCGGGAUCCGCCCGCUCCUCUGCCGCUCUCCGCGCGGCGUCGCCUGCGCCCUUCGCCGACCUUCCAAGUACAAGAAUAAAAUUAAGAACGAGGUGGUGGUAGCAGAGGAUGACAUUGAUGGCAGUGACGAGGAUGACGACGACGACGAGGGUGGGUUGGAAGCGCUUUUCAAGCAGCUGGAAGAAGAUCUGAAGAACGACGAUUUGUCUGUCGAGGAUGAUGAUGAUGAUGAUGAAAUAUCAGAGGAAGACAUGGCCAGGUUUGAACAGGUAUUGGCAGAAGCCAUUGGAGAUGUCGAUGUUGCUGAUGAAUCUGCAGUAGAUUUGGUGUCAGGCUCCGAAGUUGUUGGUAAUGAUGAGGCAGCAGAUCCAGUCGAACGGCCAGAGCUUAAAAGCUGGCAGCUCCGGAGAUUGGCUCGUGCAAUGCAAAUUGGUCGGCGUAAAACUAGUAUAAAGAAUCUUGCAGGGGAGCUUGGCCUGGAUAGGGGUUUGGUCAUUGAAUUGCUCCGCAAUCCGCCUCCAGAACUUCUACUUAUGUCUGAUUCUUUGCCUGAUGAAGCCCCCUCUAAACCUGAAACUAAGGAAAUAGAGCCCUCUCCAGUAGCUGAUGAGGUUGUAGUUGAUGAGAUUGAUGCCACUGAAGCCAAUCCACAGAUGGACCUUCCGGUUCAUGUCAUGAGCACAGAAUGGUCUGCGCAGAAAAGGCUGAAAAAGGCGCAACUGGAAACACUGGAAAAGGUUUACUUCAAAUCCAAACGCCCCACUAAUACUAUGAUCAGUAGCAUAGUUCAAGUUACAAGCCUUCCACGAAAGACCAUUAUUAAGUGGUUUGAGGAUAGAAGGGAGCAAGAUGGUGUACCAGACCGUCGUGCCGCAUACAUGAGAUCCCUAUCUGAGACAAUGGCUAGUUGAUAACUUCAGAUAAGCUUGUGUUAUAGUGUUCUCUUUUAGGUCUGAACUACGUAGGAAUUUGUAAAUUCAAACUGUGAAAUGCAACCAGUUUCAUAAGGCCAACACGGCGUAUCUUUUAUUGCUUGCUCUGAGAUCGGCCAAUGUGACAGGUACAACUCCCAACUGUCAUCAGCCCAUUAUUAUUGGCUUCACUAUGGACCACCAUUUCGUCUAUUCAUUUCAGUGGCAGUUAGUUCAUGGUCAGUUGACCGGACACCAAUUUUCCUUACGGUAAGGACCAUGGAUCCUUUCACUUUCUUGUUGAUGAAUUUCCUGGUGUGGAAGCCUGGCAUUUCACAUGACCCAUGUCCUAGUCCGGUUUACUUGGGACAAGUGGACAGUAUUUUUUCUAGUUAUGUUACCCUCUUGAUGCAAGACUUUCAACAGUAUUAGACUAUUAGGUACUCUGGUGUGGUGCUUUAAUAUAAAGUUUUCUGACAUUGAAUGCCACAUGUUUGAAGAAGGUCCUGACAGCGUAGCUAACACCUGCGCAUCGGCAGCGUGAAGUACGGAGUAUUUGAUUUUUCACAUUAUGAGCUGAAUCUCUGCAAUCUUGGUAGGCUAAUUUUAACGAACUACCAGGUAGAUCAAGUACAUGCAUCUUUGCACCUACUAUAAUCAAGUACAUGCAUUUUGGGCUUUGGACUGAUGAGUCAGUUCAGCUGUCCUCACUCUUCACUGGUCAUGGGGUCAUCACAGGCUCAGAUGGUAGGCAUUAUCGUCCGUGGUACAGACAACUAAGUGUAUGCACCGAGCGCACCUCUUGACACUUCUUUAGAACUAUUACCUCCGUUCAGAAUUAUAAGAUGUUUUCGAUAUUUCAAUAUGGACUACAUAUGGACUGAAAUGAGUGAACAAACACACUAAAAUGCGUCUAUAUAAUUCGGAACGGAGGGAGUAUAUCUUUACACCUUUAACAGAAAAUUCCAGGGCUUCAAAUUUAGCUUCACAUACCCAUAACUAUCGGUGUUAUUAAUCCUUGCAAGUUGCAACUCUGAUGAGUUAUGUUCUGGAGUUUUCACCAUUCAUAGCAGAUGUGCUUGGUAUCAACGAGCACACACCAUUCAUAUUUCAUAGCAGCUGUGCUUGGUAUCAGCGAGCACACGCCACAUAUUUAUUGACGUUGGGGCAGCUGGAGAAAUCAAGUAGCCUAUCACUCAUCAGAAAGAAAUCAUGUGGAAAGAGAAAGAAUGGGGAGGUAACAACUGGGGAUAAUGAGGAUGGAAAGGAAGGAGAGCCUGGAGUUUAUGUAAUAGAGAAAUGCUACCAGGGACAAAGACAUGAGCGGAUAGCCGGAUAUAGGGGUGAAAGAAAUUGGAAGAAAAAUGUUGGCAGUCUGUAUCAUCUAUUCUUAGAUGAUAUAGCCAGUGGAUUGUACACAUCUCUUUAUUGACAAUCUUCCGGCCACCUUCCACUCUACCCAGCGUAAUGAUGAUUGGUAGUUCGCUGAUGCUGACUGGAGCCGAAAUACAAUUGCAUUUUCCCUUGGCUGGCUUUGCUUUCUCUUGGGCCCUCUGCACUUCUUAUUCAGACGCACCGUUUCUUCAUCGACAGAGUUAUGGUGGCGAUCGCCGUCCAUAUGAAAGGUAAGAUUCCUGCUACACUAUUUUCUCUGCUAUGUUCAUCAUCUUUAUUAUGCCGACGCAUAUCAUACAUACACCAUAAACCUCUUUGUGGAUCCUCUUGUGUUGACACAUCACUUGCACUUCACAUCAGAUCAGGGCCAACUAGUGCAUCCAUUUGCGCAGGUCGCUCUCUGCGAAUUAUCUUGGCCCUGUAGUGGGUUUGGUGAUGCUUACCGGUUGCUCAUGGGCACAGUUGGGCUCUCUUCCCUCCACAUGCCCGUGAUGGAAAAGUAUUACCGGCGCAUGUGGAUCAGAAUAGUAGUUUAAUCUGACAGCUCUUGUCCUGUUUUAACUGAACGUAGACUAAUCUCUCCAUAGGUUUGUUAGUAGUAGUAGUAGGUUAUGGGAGGAGACAGGCCCUGGUAGCCCUCAGUGCCACCGGCUGUUGACUGCUCUCCUGUCUGUACGUUAAUGGCCGUCCCUUUCCCUUCACAUAUAUACAUACGCACAGGAGGCCUGGGAAGGCAAAGCACCAACCUCAGGAGACACAUCCUCCUUGCCUCUUGUGUUCUCUUCUCCAUAGCUUGCAGAUAAGCAAAGCUUGUCCGUUGCGCGGGGAGGGGAGGUGGACAGGUGCGGAUGGAAGGGUUGCAGAGAUCGUCCUCGACUUUCAGACGGUCCGGCUCGUCGGGCCUGGUGUGGGACGAGCGGUUCCUGACCGAGGGCGCCGAGGCGCAGGCCGCCGGCGAGGGCGGCGCCGAUGACGCCCAGCCGGAGAUGCGGCGCUCCCGGAGCACCGGCGGCGUCGGGAUGAUGCUGCGCCGGGGCGGCGACGACAAGAAGCAGCAGCAGCAGCAGCAGAAAAAGAAGGAGCAACAAGGCCAGAAGAAGAAGGACGAGGAGCGCGAUCCCCAGGUGUUCCGGACCAAGGAGGUGGCCCCGGACGUGGACCCGCCGUCGCCGAGGGUGUCCGGCUGCAUCCUCUGCGCCAUCUUCGGGGGCUCCGGCUCCGGCUCCGGCUCCAGCCCCGCGGCGCGCCGAGGCCGCGCCAAGCCGAAGAGGAAGCAACGGCCGGCGGCGUGAAGCUUGAUCGGGCCAUGGUGGGUGCCAUGCGAGCUGUGUUUAUACUGGAGUGAUGAUGAUGGUAUACUACUGAUAUUGGUUGGUUUGUAUUGUACUCCGCUCUGCGUUACCGCGUAGCUAGUAGUCCAUACGUGUCAGGUUAGUUCCUCUUUUUUGGGUCAGUUUCUGGAUUCAGAUCCGUGAGCUGAGCAGCUGCUGUUGAGAUCUGUGGUGUUCUCUCUUGAUCUGGUGCAUGGCCUUUCCCCUCUGGAGCCGCUGGGCGUUGGUUGCUUGAUUGGUUGCAUGUGAGUGUGAGGUGUUGCUACUGUUGCUGCCGUGUUGCAUGUAUGGAGUUGCAACCAUAAACAAUCGAUUGGGCGGCAAAACAUUGGGGCGUGGGGCAUGUGUGUUCAUGCUGCCCAAGCUAUGGCGAAUUUCCUCGUCCUUGCUUUGGAAUCUUUUCUUUUGUAUUACCU